ensembl:lncRNA
CACAAUUUGUCUCUAAUUUGUGUAUGUUGUUUGAUGAGAUCACCCACUUAUGUGGCUGUAAAUCCAAAAGGUACAAAAGAACAGCCUCUCCCACUUCUGCCCAGACACUCAGCCCCUUUCUUUGUGGGCAGUCAUAUUACCAUGAAAAAAAUCCAGAGGAAUUUCAUGAACAGCAGUAUUCUGUUGUGAGUAUAUUCUGGUUCCCCCAAUACACUAUAAUUUAAAAGCAGAUACUUUUGGGGGCUCCCCUGGUGGCUCAGGGGUACAGAAUCCACCUGCCAGUGCAAGGAGACAUGGGUUCAAUCCCUGGUCCAGGAAGAUCCCACAUGCCGUGGGGCAGCUCAGCCUGUGUGGCGCAACAACUGAAUAUACACCCCUAGAGCCUGUGCUCUGUAAUGAGAAGCCAUCACAAUGAGAAACCUGGGCACCGCAACUGGACAGUAGCCUGCGCUCGCAGCAGCGAAGACCCAGCACAACCAAAAAUAAUAAAAGCAGAUACUCUAGGUCUGUAUCUCUAAGCAACCCAACAAAAGGAGACAACUCAAAGGAUGUUAUUAACAUGAUUUCCUCCUCUCUAAGAGGAGGUUUGUCAUGGAUGUUCUCAUAUAGUCAGUUCAACUGGUGCAUUCAGCUUCUUAUUUAUUUCACCCUAAGGUUUUAAAACGGAAAAAAAAAAGUGGAAUUUAGCUGCUCAUGACAUAGAAGACAAACCUUACACUUGAGACCUCAACAUACGUUUUUAAAAUCUCAGUCCUUACCAAGGUAUCUAGUGACCUACAUAGCUAGUGUGUUAGUGGGGGAUGAAUGAUCUGGGUUCAAAGUCUGCCUCAGCCACUGUGUGACCUUGGGAGAGUUAGCUAACUUCUCAGUGCCUUAGUUUCAUCAUGUGAAAAAUGGAGAUCUUAAGAUGAGUGGAGAUAAUAACCUACCUCAUAAGGUGGUCAUGAGAUUAAGUGAGCAAAAGUGUAAACCAGGACAAGAUCUGACAUGUACUUGGCAGUUGAGAGUUCACUGUUUUGCUUGGCUGUGCUACUCUGGUACUUCACAUAAAGCCAUUCAACUUCUCAUCUGUAAACAGGGAAAUGACAUGUGCAUGAUGUUUUCAAGGUCUUUUCCAGUUCUAAUGUCCUUUGAUUCGCAAUUUGUGUCACUAGCAAAGGCUGGUAUCCUGCACACGGUAGGGGCUGCUGAUUCCAGGUGCUGCAGCUGACCAGCAUUCAAGAACCUGAGUGUGGCUUGGUACCAGGAGCCUUGUUUCCUCAUGUGUUGAGUCUGGAGACAAAACUAAAUAGUCGUCAUGUUUGAAGGAUGGCAAGGUUGUUCUAGAGAGGAGCAAGUCUUGGGAAAUUGUUACUAAGAUUAGUAAUCAAUCAUGCACAAUAAAAUUGGACAGUCAUGUUUCACAGAUGGUUCAUGUGCUUGUAUGUACAAGAUUAAAGAAUGUCAAAUAUUG